UACGUAGGGGGCUAGCGUUGUCCGGAAUCAUUGGGCGUAAAGCGCGUGUAGGCGGUUCGGUAAGUCAGCUGUGAAAGUCAAGGGCUCAACCCUUGAAAGCCGGUUGAUACUGUCGGGCUAGAGUCCGGAAGAGGCGAGUGGAAUUCCCGGUGUAGCGGUGAAAUGCGCAGAUAUCGGGAGGAACACCAAUGGCGAAGGCAGCUCGCUGGGACGGUACUGACGCUGAGACGCGAAAGCGUGGGGAGCAAACAGG
rnacentral:rRNA from 1 species